rnacentral:lncRNA from 1 species
UGCGCGGGGCCCCAGUCUCCAGUCCCGCCCAGGCGCCUUUGCAGGCUGCGGUGGGAUUUCGUUUUGCCUCCGGUUGGGGCUGCUGUUUCUCUUCGCCGACGAGACGGGGUUUCACCAUGUUGGUCAGGCUGGUCUCCAAUUCCUGACCUCGUGAUCCGCCCGCCUCGGCCUGCCAAACAGCUGUGAUUAUAGGCGUGAGCCACCGCGCCCGGCCAACCAUCAUUAUUAUUUUUAACGUGGAUCCUCUAUCCUUCAGAGACUCUGGAACCCCUGUGGUCUUCUCUUCAUCUAAUGACCCUGAGGGGAUGGAGUUUUCAAGUCCUUCCAGAGAGGAAUGUCCCAAGCCUUUGAGUAGGGUAAGCAUCAUGGCUGGCAGCCUCACAGGAUUGCUUCUACUUCAGGCAGUGUCGUGGGCAUCAGCCGCUAUGAGAGUACACGCAGUGGGCGACGGAUGGAGCUGAGUAUGGGGCCCAUCCAGGCUAAUCACACGGGCACAGGCCUGCUACUGACCCUGCAGCCAGAACAGAAGUUCCAGAAAGUGAAGGGAUUUGGAGGGGCCAUGACAGAUGCUGCUGCUCUCAACAUCCUUGCCCUGUCACCCCCUGCCCAAAAUUUGCUACUUAAA